rnacentral:rRNA from 1 species
UACGGGGGGGGCAAGCGUUGUUCGGAAUUACUGGGCGUAAAGGGCUCGUAGGCGGCCAACUAAGUCAUACGUGAAAUCCCUCGGCUUAACCGGGGAACUGCGUCUGAUACUGGAUGGCUUGAGAUUGGGAGAGGGAUGCGGAAUUCCAGGUGUAGCGGUGAAAUGCGUAGAUAUCAGGAGGAACACCUGUGGUGUAGACGGCUUACUGGACCAUGACUGACGCUGAGGCACGAAAGCGUGGGGAGCAAACAGG